rnacentral:lncRNA from 1 species
UUAUGGCUUAGAGUGUGAGCAUAUGUCCAUUGUGGAUUAUUGUUGAUGAUUUUGCAUUGCUAGGUGAUUUAGCAUGCAUAUUGUGGUCUUUAUGGUGGUAGCUAAUUCCCAUAGUGAGGAAUUAGUGAGUUAGUCAUUAUGGACUGUUGUUGAUGUUUGCAUGCUAGGUGAAUUAGCGUGCAUAGCAUGGCCCUUGGGGUGGUAGCUAAUUCCCGUGGUGAGGAAUUAGUGAGUGAGUCACUAGGUCUCAAAUGAGUGGGACUAGUGGGCUUGGUAGCCGUAUCUGGAUUUGAUCGGUGAGGUGAACUAUAUGUUCACG